GGCGCAAGGGUGAGUAAGGCGACGGUAACCAACCUCGCGGACGGGCAUAGCCGGGGGAAACCCCGGGUAAUUCCCGGCGACGCGGGAUGCCGGCAUCGGCGUCCCGCCAAAGGCCCCGGCCGCCGCGAGACGGGCCGUCGUGGUAUUAGGUCGUUGGUGGGGUGACGGCCCACCAAGCCGGCGAUGCCUACCGGGUGUGCGAGCAUGGCCCGGCACACUGGGACUGAGACACUGCCCAGACUCCUACGGGAGGCUGCAGUCGAGAAUCUUCGGCAAUGGGCGCAAGCCUGACCGAGCGACGCCGCGUGGAGGACGAAGGCCUUCGGGUUGUAAACUCCUGUCGAGGGGGAGGAAGGCGUGGCAACACGCUUGACCGAUCCCUGGAGGAAGCACGGGCUAAGUUCGUGCCAGCAGCCGCGGUAAGACGAACCGUGCGAACGUUAUUCGGAAUCACUGGGCUUAAAGCGCGUGUAGGCGGGCCGGCGCGUCCGUGGCUGAAAGCCCCCGGCUCAACCGGGGAAGGGGCACCGAUACGGGCGGCCUGGAGGGGGGUAGGGGGGCCUGGAACUUCCGGUGGAGCGGUGAAAUGCGUUGAGAUCGGAAGGAACGCCCGUGGCGAAAGCGAGGCCCUGGACCCUUUCUGACGCUGAGACGCGAAAGCCAGGGGAGCGAACGGGAUUAGAUACCCCGGUAGUC
rnacentral:rRNA from 1 species